GAACCCUAAAUUAGUCACCUCCCUCUCUACCUAUUUUUCUUCCCUCUUCUCACCCCCUCUCACUGCUCCUCUCUCUCCGUGCUCUCCGUCCGGCGACCCACCGUCCGGCAAGCUGACCACCAUUCUUACCUUCCCUCUUCUCUUCUCGCCUCUCCUCUUCCCUUCGAACGCUUCUGCCCCCCAGCUCUCGUCACUGCCACAGAGAGAAGCUGAAUCUCUCUGCCCUGCAUCGUUCCGCCGUUCGCGCCGCUCUAUGCGCCGCCGCGAGCUCAGCCGGCCACCACCAACUCUGGGUGGCACUACUUCUGCUCUUCUUCCCCUUUCCAUUUCCCAGUCUGUCUCUACUACAUUCCAGCUCUGAGGGAUAUUUCUUUGCAUUUUGAUCAUUCCCUCUUGAUGUGGGAGUUCUAGUGCAAGUGGGGUUUUCCCUUUUUUCUGGGAUUUUGAAGUGGAAGUGGGAGUUCGAGUGAUUUAGAUUAUACCCGAGAGAAGGGGCUGGUUGAUGCAGCUUUUGGUUAAAUAAUUAAAGGUUCAUUUAUGCUCAGUUUUGAAUAUGCUGCCUGAUCAGGGAAAAAAGGCAGUCAAUGACAAGCAAAAUGAAGCCAUCACAGCUGCAUCUAAUGAGUUGGCCAAAAGAAAAAGCGAUCUUGAAGAAAAUUUAAAACUUUCACAUGAUUUAAAAGUCUAGGCGCAGCAUGGAAUGUUGCUAAUGUGACAAAAGGAUCAACUGGGGUGAUAUUUGGUCUCGGAACUGUUGGCCUUUCUGUUGCACAAGGUGCAAAACUAAGGGGAGCAUCUCGAAUAAUUGGCGUGGAUAAGAAUCCACAUAAGUGUGAAAAAGCAAAAGCUUUUGGAUUUACAGAAGUUGUUGACGCGAGUUCCUACCAAGAACCUAUUGCUCAAGUUACUAUUCCUUUUUCAGUUAUACCAUCUGACAAGGGCUACUUAUUACAAGUAUCCAAAGCAAAAGUUUUCAUUCCAGUGGCUAAAUGGUCGUCGCAGAUUCUUCCAACCCACCACCGUCUUCUGAGUUAUGUUCGUCGCCUGGCCUCUGUCUCCGUCACGAUUCUGCCCCCCUCUUCUCAGACUACUCAGUAGAAAAAUCCAUCUCCAUUCCAGUUUCCUUCCUUCGAGUUCAGAGAGCAGAAGCUCAACCAAGAAAAAAACCUUAGACUUCGACGAUCAAAGUUGUGAACAUGCGUAACAGGGAAUUAGUGCUGGAUUUAUUGCAGUCUGUUGUGGAGAUAAUUACUUAUGGUGAUAAACAUGAUCCAUCCAUUCUUGAAUGUUUCAUGGAUCGCCAAGUGGUUGCGGAAUUCGUUCGAAUGCUUGAUAUCAGUGAAAAUUCAAGAAUUGAGGCACCAUUACUUCAGUAUCUCAGCAUAAUGAUUCAAAACAUGGAUAAUGAACAUGCAAUUUGUAAGACUGUUAGUAUUUCUUGAUGUUUCAGGCUAAGGUCAUUAGACUUUAGAGUUUUACCUAUUUUCCAUACAUUGUUAGGCAUGAAAUAGUUAUUUGAGUUGAAAACUUUAAUUUUUUUAAUUGAAGAUCUUUAGACCCAUCAAUAGUGUAAUGCACGAGAUCUUAUGCUAUGCGGAAAUGUUGUCAAAUAUGGUACACAGAAUCCAGAUGGUCUGUUGGUACUUUUAUAUUAUCUACUAGUAUGUCUUAGGCUUCAUACUGGUACUUAAUCCAAUAUGCUGUGCUGACUUUGCAUCUUGCAGACUAUUGUUUCAGCAAUGGUUAUAUUAAUAGCAUUAUUUUGCAUCCGUAUGAACUUGAUGGGGGAGACUUGGCUCCAUACUAUAUGUCUUUUCUAAGGUUGUGUUGCAAGUUUUUCUGUUAUAAAUUUUAUCUCCUCUUUCUUUUAUUAGUGAAUCACAUAAGGGUGUAAAUUUUCUGAUUCUGAUAUUUUGUUUCACAUGGUUUUAUGUUUGUUGUUAUCUUUUAAUAUUUAUUCUAAAAGGAGAAACUAACUUUUGGUUCAUUUCUUCAUUCAGGGCUGUUAGUGGUAAAAUAAACAGAGACACACUUUGCCUUCUUGUGAAUGUACAUGGGGUAGGUCAAAACUUGUAAAUAUGAUGGUUUGUUGCUGUAUAUUGAGCUAAAAUAAUUGUCUUCUCACUUUUGAAUAGGACAAGUGAAUAAUGAAUUCAUCCUUUUUUUGUUGAAUUUACUAUGCUAGAGUAGUUUUGAAUUACACACGUUUAGAAAGCUAAUGUAAUAUCAUUUUUGUUGAAUUCACAUUCUGUAUUCAAUAAUAUUCUGUUUCUAAAUUUUAUAUUCUGUAACCUCUUUUACCUUGAAAAAGUUUAUUCCCCCACCCAAAAAAAAUAAUCUAUUUGAAAAUUAAAAAAAAAAGGGGUAAGUGGUUGGUCACAAAAACAUAUGAUACUAACAUUAGUAGUCAUCAGCCAUGAAUUAUAAUACUAAGUUGUCAGAAAAACAUGAAAUUCCUUAAACUAUCAGAAAAGCACUAAAGAAAAUUUACAACAUAAUUUGGUCUCUGCACUA